GUCUAUGGCCACGCCACCCGGAUCAUACCCGAUCCCGUCUGAUCUCGGAAGCUAAGCAGGGUCGGGCCUGGUUAGUACUUGGAUGGGAGACCACCUAGGAUGACCAGGUGCUGAGGGUA
rnacentral:rRNA from 1 species